rnacentral:rRNA from 1 species
GACGAACCUUGCAAACGUUAUUCGGAAUUACUGGGCUUAAAGGGUGCGUAGGCGGUGCAGAAAGUCAGGUGUGAAAUACCUCAGCUUAACUGAGGAAUUGCGCCCGAAACUACUGUGCUAGAGGAAGACAGAGGUAAGCGGAACUUAGGGUGGAGCGGUGAAAUGCGUUGAUAUCCUAAGGAACACCGGUGGCGAAAGCGGCUUACUGGGGUCUUAUCUGACGGCUGAGGCACGAAAGCUAGGGUAGCGAACGGGG